rnacentral:rRNA from 1 species
UCAUGGCUCAGGAUGAACGCUAGCGGCAGGCCUAACACAUGCAAGUCGAGGGGCAGCGGGGAAAAGCUUGCUUUUCCGCCGGCGACCGGCGCACGGGUGCGCAACGCGUAUAGAAUCUGCCCCUUACCGGGGAAUAGCCCAGGGAAACUUGGAUUAAUGCCCCAUGGUAUAUGUUGACGGCAUCGUUUUCAUAUUAAAGGUUACGGUAAGGGAUGACUAUGCGUCCCAUUAGUUAGUUGGUAAGGUAACGGCUUACCAAGGCAGCGAUGGGUAGGGGCCCUGAGAGGGGGAUCCCCCACACUGGUACUGAGACACGGACCAGACUCCUACGGGAGGCAGCAGUGAGGAAUAUUGGACAAUGGGCGAAAGCCUGAUCCAGCCAUGCCGCGUGCAGGAAGACGGCCCUAUGGGUUGUAAACUGCUUUUGUACGGGAAGAAACCCGCCCACGUGUGGGCGAUUGACGGUACCGUAAGAAUAAGGACCGGCUAACUCCGUGCCAGCAGCCGCGGUAAUACGGAGGGUCCGAGCGUUAUCCGGAAUUAUUGGGUUUAAAGGGUCCGUAGGCGGGCCGUUAAGUCAGGGGUGAAAUGCUGCGGCUCAACCGUAGCACUGCCUUUGAUACUGGCGGUCUUGAGUUAUGGUGAAGUUGCCGGAAUAUGUGGUGUAGCGGUGAAAUGCAUAGAGAUCACAUAGAACACCGAUUGCGAAGGCAGGUGACUAACCAUAUACUGACGCUGAUGGACGAAAGCGUGGGGAGCGAACGGGAUUAGAUACCCCGGUAGUCCACGCCGUAAACGAUGGAUACUAGCUGUCCGGUACCUUGAGUACUGGGCGGCCAAGCGAAAGUGAUAAGUAUCCCACCU